CAUCACCAAACUUGCCAAGGGGCCAGACAUGCAAAGGAAGUUCUAUUGUACUUUGGGUGAUGGGACUUCAGAGGUGUUGGCCUAUGCUAAUCUUAUACCGGAGUCUUGCCCUGACAUGUCUGCUUAUGCUAAUCUUGUACCAAGGACUUGUGUGGACAUGUUUGCCAAGGUUAAACUAGUGUAACCCCUGUCUACACCUCCCCUUUUGUGACAUGUCAGUGAUGUAACAAUGAUAUAGCAAUGAUGCUCUACAAACAGUAUUCUGGGAUAUCGUGGGGAAGUUUUAAAAGUCUUUGUCACCCCAUGCUCGGGGUUCAAAAUUCCUCUUUCAGCCUGUUGCGCAAUAAACUUUGGUCUACAGCUAUUUGCUCCAGUUGAUGGCUGGACUCCUUCCUUUAUUCCGCAAGGGACCCACAGGCUCCGCCCGACGAGCUGGGUGGCUGAGCAGCCUCACACCUAGAUUUUUCUGUAACACACAGGAGACAGAUGAGGUGAUCAGGCACUCCCAUUUCUUUAAGAACUUGCCAUAGUUUGCUGUGGUCGACACAGUCAAGUGCAUUUGCGUAGUCAAUGAAGCAGAAGUAGAUGUCUUUCUGGAACUCUCUAGCUUUCUCCAUAAUCCAGCAUGUUUGCAAUUUGGUCUCUGGUUCCUCUGCCCCUUCGAAAUCCAGCUUGCACUUCUGGGAGUUCUCAGUCCACAUACUGCUUAAGCCUGCCUUGUAGAAUUUUAAGCAUAACCUUGCUAGCGUGUGAAAUGAGCGCAAUUGUGCGGAAGUUGGAACAUUCUUUGGCACUGCCCUUCUUUGGGAUUGGGAUGCAGACUGACUUUCUCCAAUCCUCUGGCCACUGCUGAGUUUUACAAAGUUGCUGGCAUAUUGAGUGUAGCACAUUAACAGCAUCAUAUUUUAAAAUUUUGGUUUUCAAGGAAGAAGCAGCCCUGGAAAAUAAGGCAGGAAUUAACCUUGAAUCUUGCUAACAAAAUCCUUUCAUAGCUUUUUGUGAGAGUGUGACUGCUAAUCUUAAAGCCAGGAUGAGCACUAAGAAUUGGGCAUCAUUUCCUCUGUUAUAAAAAAUAAAAUAAAAUACUUGUUCCACUUCUAAAGAAACCCUUUAGAAUGCAUUCUUAUUUUUUUAUUAAAAAAAUCAAACAGCUGUGCAAAGGUGCUCCUGUGCAAUGCAAUGUCAGAAUAACAAAAUAAUGAAACAUCUCAUAAGAGCCUUGUUUUUUAAAUAUACAGCUAAAAAACCUUAAAACUCCUACAACACUUACCAAAUACAAAUCUAAAAGCAGGGACUAGGAGGCAACCUGAUAUUCAAGGCUUCACCCCACCCCAAACUCUGAGCUUUUGGUUUCUCUUUAGACACUCAUCUGUGGUCGCCUGGAGCAUUUGAGGGGAAAGAGAGAGAACAUUCUGGCAUACGAAGCAAACAUAGAAAAAGAAAGUGACAACCUGUUUAUAAUUCAGUGGGGCCUCUUCUCAGUUCAUUCUCUUCUGGAUCAGUGCCUUAAUCCUUUGAAGAUUUUGUAUAUCACAGAAUAGUCAUUGAGAUGUCCCCAGAUGUUGUUGUCCAGUUCGCCUCCGCUUCAGCCAGCAGGGCAGACAGUCAAGGAUGAUAGAAACUCUAAUCUGGACCUCACCACCUGGACUCUGCUGCCCUAUAUCCUUCCUAUUGAAACAAAUGUGAAAAUAAAUUUUGGACUCUAUAGAUUUAUCCUGGUCUGGUGCAUGCAAUGUCUUUUGUUUUGCAGCUGUGUGAUUUGUGCUCAUAUUGUAUUGUGGUGGCCAUUGGCUAUAAACAAUAAAAUUUAUAGAUACAGUAGAUUGAACUGCAAAAAUAAGUAAUAAAAUAAUAAAAUGAUUUUUAUAUUU